rnacentral:lncRNA from 1 species
GGCCAGAGCCGCGGCAGAGGCAGAGGAGGGAGCUAGGAGGUGAGACCCGCUCCACCCUGCUCGCCUAGGCUCGGCGGAGGCUAAGAGCAGGGCAGCCUCCUCUGCCCGGCGCCCGCUGAGCCCCGGCAUCUGGAACUCAGGGCCCUGGCGCUCCAGGGGCGGGAACUGGCCGGGAGGACCGCGCGGGAGAGCACGGAUGGGCACCCUGGGCUCGAUCCUUCAUCUCCUCGUCCUCCAGGCAGCACAAGCCAUUGUGGAAUCUCCACCAGGUGUACAGAACGGUGCCUCUGCGUCCUGCCACUCAGGACCUCUCAAGUCCCCGAUGUGAUGGCUCCUCAGCAUGAUCAGGAGAAAUUCCAUGAUCUUGCUUAUUCCUGUCUUGGGAAGUCCUUCUCCAUGUCUAACCAAGAUCUAUAUGGCUAUAGCACCAGCUCUUUGGCUCUUGGCUUGGCAUGGCUAAGUUGGGAGACCAAAAAGAAGAAUGUACUUCAUCUGGUUGGGCUGGAUUCCCUCUGAUAAGCCUUCCCAGUUGACUGAAAGAUGAGGCUAGGCUCUAGCAAGUUGAAGUCAAACCAGCUCCUUCAAGAAGCUUUGAGCAGAAUGAAGUGGGGAGGACCCAGCUUCCAGCCCAGGAAGCCCACUGUACCUGGAGCCAUCUGGGAUAAGACUUUGACCCAUGACUCCCAUAUCCACAGCCUGUCCAUCCUAGCCCAUCCCAGUUUAUCCUGUAUCAUUUGAGCUGGGAUUCCCACAUCCUCUGAGUUGGAAGUCCCAUCUCAAGUCUUCAAUAAAGACUCUUGAAUAUUGAA